rnacentral:ncRNA from 1 species
UGGAUAUAGCAUCAUGAUAGUAGAUUGAUUUAGUACGAGAGGAAACUGUUGAUUAUGGGCUUCUGGUUAGCGAUUAUCGGAAACGGUAUGUCGCGCAGCUACGCCGUCUGGGAUAAUGGCUGAAAGCCUCUUAAGCCAGAAGCCCAUCUAGAAAGUGAUGCACGUGAUGUUGGACCGAUACGAAUAAUCAUACUCAAAAGGUCCGCUUCAUAGGUAACCCAAUGUAGAAGACAUUGUGUGAACGAAGGUACUGUAAGCAGUGGAGUGGCAUUACGUCCACGACCUGUUGAGGUUCAGCUUCGCUUCUAGGUUUCC